GGGCCCGCACAAGCGGUGGAGCAUGUGGUUUAAUUCGAUGCAACGCGAAGAACCUUACCAAGGCUUGACAUACUACAAAUUUCUUUGAAAGAGGGAAAGUGCCUUCGGGAAUGUAGAUACAGGUGGUGCAUGGCUGUCGUCAGCUCGUGUCGUGAGAUGUUGGGUUAAGUCCCGCAACGAGCGCAACCCUUAUUUUUAGUUACCAAUUCGUUGGGUUUUUUAGAAAGACUGCCGGUGACAAACCGGAGGAAGGUGAGGAUGACGUCAAGUCAGCAUGCCCCUUAUGUCCUGGGCUACACACGUGCUACAAUGGUAUCUACAACAGGAAGCAAGACGGCGACGUCAAGCAAA
rnacentral:rRNA from 1 species